CAAUUGAAGGGUUUGAUCCUGGCUCAGAACGAACGCUUGCGGCGUGGAUUAGGCAUGCAAGUCGAACGAGAACCGGUCCCUUCGGGGAACGGGGACAGUGGCGAAAGGGUGAGUAAUACGUAGAUAACCUACCCUCGAGAUGGGGAAAAUUACCCGAAAGGGUGACUAAUACCCAAUGACACCAGACAAUCACCUGGUUGAUUGGUCAAAGGUGGGGAUCCUUCGGGACCUUCCGCUCGAGGAGGGAUCUACGGCCUAUUAGCUUGUUGGUGGGGUAACGGCCUACCAAGGCUUCGAUGGGUAGCCGGCCUGAGAGGGUGGUCGGUCACACUGGGACUGAGACACUGCCCAGACUCCUACGGGAGGCUGCAGUCGAGAAUCAUUCGCAAUGGGCGCAAGCCUGACGAUGCGACGCCGCGUGGAGGAUGAAGGCCUUCGGGUUGUAAACUCCUGUCACGGGUUAAGAACAGCACAUAGAGUAAUACAUUAUGUGCCUGACAAAGGCCCGAGAGGAAGCUCCGGCUAAAUACGUGCCAGCAGCCGCGGUAAUACGUAUGGUGCAAGCGUUAUUCGGAUUUAUUGGGCGUAAAGGGUUCGUAGGUGGUUUAUUAAGUCAGAUGUGAAAUCCAACGGCUCAACCGUUGAACUGCAUUUGAAACUGAUGAACUAGAGUAUUGGAGAGGUAAGUGGAAUUUCAGGUGUAGCGGUGGAAUGCGUAGAUAUCUG
rnacentral:rRNA from 1 species